rnacentral:rRNA from 1 species
GUAUGGCCUGCCCAAUGAAUUUAUUUAAAUGGCCGCGGUAUAUUGACCGUGCAAAGGUAGCAUAAUCAUUAGUUUCUUAAUUAGGAGCUAGAAUGAAUGGUUGGACGAGAUAAUAACUGUCUAAUUAUUAAUAGAGUAGAACUUAUUUUUUAGGUUAAAAAACUUAAAUGAUUUUUUGGGACGAGAAGACCCUAUAGAAUUUAAUAUCUAUUUGUAUAGUUUGUAAGGUAUUUAUGGUGGAUAAGAUAUUUUAUUGGGGUGAUAAAAGGAUAUAAUUAACUCUUUUUAGUUGUUGAAUAUUGAUGUAUAGUAUGUAUAUAUAUUAUGAUCCAUUAUUAUUGAUUAAAAGAUAAAAUUACC